UUUUUGUUUCCAGGCAACAGCUACUGAUCCACGGAUCCACAAGCUAAAGUUAAAGCUAAUCAGAGUGAUGAGAUUUAAGGUCUUCUCAGGCCUGGGAGGCUGCGGCUUUGUCUCGGCCACAGGUCG